GGGCUUAUGGUCUAGGGGUAUGAUUUUCGCUUCGCAUCUUUGUUCUGUUCAGUCAGACAAGCGACUGUGAAAGGUCCGGGGUUCAAAUCCCCGUGAGUCCA